GGCAUGUUAAGAAUAGAGGAGACUGGGGUAGACGAAGACGAUAGAAGAUAUUGCACUGUUGGAAUCGAGAGAAGAGGUUGGUCUGAGUUCCGUUUGGGUCGGUAGUGGUGGAUUUUGAAAGGUUUAUCAUCGAAGGCUUCAAAUCUCCCUGCUUUUAGUAAUUUGAACCAAUUGAAACUGGUUCAUAAUUGUAGUGGCUGGGAAUUUCAGGCAGCGCUGCUCCACAGAACACCCAAUCUGGAAGGGUUUGUGAACAAUACAAAUCGUUAAGUGGAACGCUUAGAGUUAACUGAUGAAAAGACAUGAUUCAUUCCAGACCCAAGUUGUGACUUUAGUGAGAGACAGAGAGAGAAGAGUGCUAAUAAGGCUUCUGGCCAAGAAGAAGAGGAGGGCAGUAUGGCGCCGUUUCCUGAAAAGGUUCAAGUUGGAGGAUCACCACAAUAUAAGCUGAAAAGGAAGCUGGGCAAAAUGGCUUUGUACCCUGACCUGCACUACAAAUGAUACAGCAAGUUCAAGUACUGCUGGUUUGAAAAUGCAAGUCAUGACGAUGAAACAGUGUCCAAGCUAACAGCUUUACGCCUUUACGUUUAUAAGCAGCUAAAGGCCUGGACCAAUAUUAUUUGCUCUCUGGUCAUGCCGGGGGUGCAAUUUUAUUUUUCUCAAGGAAAGAGACUACUAUGGAGGAUGUCAAUGUCAGUGAUGAGAAGGAGAAGAUUCGGUGUAACAAAGAGGUGGAGUGGAAGGUAUACAUUUUCAAUUAGAUGAAUAAUAUAAACUGACUGCAAGUGCAAACUAAUGGAUGUGGUUUCUGAAGGCAUUACCACCAUCAGCAUUGGAAUCAUCCUUUGAAGCUCUAAACUCGAAGAAGUUUGAUGCUAUUUUUACAAUAUAGCUUAUCUACUCUGGUCAUGGACAGGUUUUUAUGUCCCAAAACAAAACCUUAUACCCGCACUGUUUUUGGUUUCUUUGUAGAAUCAGUGGAGCAGAUGGUGAUGAAUAUGUUUGGCAAAAAAGGAAUUAAGCUGACUUUGAUUAUGAUAGCUGAAUUGGCAAAUGCAUAAUAUGUCAAAACAUAUAUCUGUAAAACAGUACCAUAUGUGGUUAUGUAAUGUAUUGAAUGUUUGUAAUUAUGAAGCUGAACCAUAUCAAUGGUAGAGGAAUGCUAGCAACCUUCCCCUCCAACCUUUCCCUUUCUACCUUUCCCAUUCAUUGCAUGCCAUGUGUAUUCCACUAUCUAAAAAUUUCAAAUAAUUAAUACAAUUGAAAGACAAGUUUUCACUUC